rnacentral:rRNA from 1 species
UUUGCCUUUCCAAUAAGCGGAGGAAAAGAAACCAACCGGGAUUGCCUUAGUAACGGCGAGUGAAGCGGCAAAAGCUCAAAUUUGAAAUCUGGUACCUUCGGUGCCCGAGUUGUAAUUUGUAGAAGGUAACUUUGGGGCUGGUCCUUGUCUAUGUUCCUUGGAACAGGACGUCAUAGAGGGUGAGAAUCCCGUGUGGCGAGGAUCCCAGUUCUUUGUAAAGUGCUUUCGAAGAGUCGAGUUGUUUGGGAAUGCAGCUCUAAGUGGGUGGUAAAUUCCAUCUAAAGCUAAAUAUUGGCGAGAGACCGAUAGCGAACAAGUACAGUGAUGGAAAGAUGAAAAGAACUUUGAAAAGAGAGUGAAAAAGUACGUGAAAUUGUUGAAAGGGAAGGGCAUUUGAUCAGACAUGGUGUUUUGCGCCCUCUGCUCCUUGUGGGUGGGGGAAUCUCGCAGCUCACUGGGCCAGCAUCAGUUUUGGCGGCAGGAUAAAUCUGCAGGAAUGUAGCUUGCCUCGGUAAGUGUUAUAUCCUGUAGAAAUACUGCCAGCUGGGACUGAGGACUGCGACUUUACGUCAAGGAUGCUGGCAUAAUGGUUAUAUGCCGCCCGUCUUGAACCACCGGACCAAA